UCAUCAAUCAGGAAGCUCGAGCAAUACUACCAAACUGUCAUUGCAGAGCCAACUAUCGGCCGGUUCUAACGAAGCCAAUAUUAGAGGAUCCAUCUCUAGCACAAGUGUAGGAUCUGGAAUUUUACGAGAUGUUACCGAUGGAGCUUGUCCCGGCCCCUCGCAAACCGAGCAACCGCAUCAUACAGGUUAAUGAUAGUGCAGAAACUGUGAGUUCCCGUACCAAGUAUAUCGACCA